rnacentral:rRNA from 1 species
GGCCAGACUCCUACGGGAGGCAGUAGUGGGGGAUAUUGCACAAUGGGGGGAACCCUGAUGCAGCGACGCCGCGUGGGUGAAGGAGUAUUUCGGUAUGUAAAGCCCUAUCGGCAGGGAAGAAGCAAGACGGUACCUGACUAAGAAGCCCCGGCUAACUACGUGCCAGCAGCCGCGGUAAUACGUAGGGGGCGAGCGUUAUCCGGAUUUACUGGGUGUAAAGGGGGCGCAGACGGCAGCGCAAGCCAGGAGUGAAAGCCCGGGGCCCAACCCCGGGACUGCUCUUGGAACUGCGCGGCUGGAGUGCAGGAGGGGCAGGCGGAAUUCCUGGUGUAGCGGUGAAAUGCGUAGAUAUCAGGAGGAACACCGGUGGCGAAGGCGGCCUGCUGGACUGCGACUGACGUUGAGGCCCGAAAGCGUGGGGAGCAAACAGGAUUAGAUACCCCAGUA